rnacentral:lncRNA from 1 species
UUUUUUUUUUUUUUGGUUUUUUUGUUUGUUUUGGUUUUGGUUUUGGUUUUGGCUUUUAGUUAUCACUGUUUACCACACUUGGUACAGCAAGAGUUUUGAUGCCUUUUCAGAAGCAUCCUUAAUGUCUUAGUAAAGGUGAAUCCAUGAUUACUUUUAAAACUGUACAACUUGAAACCUUUUUGAAACCAUACAUAUUUCUAAUAAAUGAACAGUUGCCUUUUCUUUUACUAUAUGCUUUAGCUAGCUACUUUAAUUCCAAUCCUUAGGAAAAAAUGUCAGAUUCAUGAGUUGGGUUAGUAUCCAGAUAGUCCACGAAGGCUUCUGCAGCUUUUAACACGUGUGUGGAAUGAAUAUGUUGAAUGGUGGUACUAUCUGUGUAUUAGCAGGAAAUAGAACAAAAAUUCCAGUGAUUCAGAACCUCUGCUUGCCCCUACACCAGUGUGUAAUAGAGAGUGCUUUAUGUUUUCAGGCUUAAAGAAUCAAACUGAAAGUUGAAUAUGGCAAUUAUUAUGUUAGCCACUGAAUAUAUGCCAUUGCUUCAACUUUCUUUUUGUUUCAUCAGAUAGCUUUUUCUGAGUUAGAAUGGUUUCCAAAGGACACUGGGAAAUACCACUAUUCAAAAUGUUCUCUGUGACCUCUCAUAAUAGAACCUGUGUUUGUAUAAUUCAUAAGUAGAUGAAAUGAUCAACGGUGCAAAUGACAAUGCUUCUCAGGGAGCAGACUUUAAGUCAGCUGUGGAAAGAGGUGCUUACCUUUAGCCAAGGCUGUGGUAAGAUGUGUAGUUACCACACCUAUUUAAGUGAGGCAAAUUCUGCAUAGUUAGGUGCGCACUGCCCAGACUCCCAAUUAUGUCCCUACUGAGUGUUUUAUGCUCUGGCAAAGGUCUUAACAUGAUUGGCUUUGUGCCUUGACAGAAAUAAAAGUUUUAUUCCUCUUUUAUGUAAGGAAAAUUCCCAAAGAACUGGUUCAGUGAGCCACCUUCAUUUUGAGAACUAAGCAUAAAGUAUAGCAGAGAUUGCUUGUUUAUGAGGCAUGCGGUAGUAAAGCUCCAGUAGGAUGGGUUUUCUAACCCUGAAGUUACACACACACACACACACACACACACACACACACUAAAUGCUUAUUUUUAUGAAUAUCAGGAUACUUUAGAAAAGAAGUUUUGCCUUCCUAUAUUUUUAAAAGUUCCUGGAAAUAUUUAUAAUGUAGAUUAUAAAUCAUAGAGUAACGUUUACAUUUCAUUAUAUCACAUGCCUCAGAGAACAGAAGUAAUGCUUUUUGUUUUGAUUGACUUAUGUUGUCUUUCUUUUAAUAAGAACUCUUUAAAUCAGGAUUAUGCGAUAAUAGAGACAGGUGUGCCGAGGAAGAUGCUAGUAAAGGAUUGGAUGAGCAGUUUGCAGGAAUAUGGAAGUGUGGGGAGUAGAUGGCUGCCAAGUAUAGCAAAGUAACUGCUGGACUGCAUUGAGGAGAGUUUUUUUCUAUUGAUGGGUGCUCACAAGCUGUGUGUGUCUUCACUUAACACUGUAUUCAGAUAGUAAGAGAUUUGGAGAUACUGAAAUAAAAUGAAAAUUAAAUAUAUGUUCACAUUAUUGACCUCUGGCUUAUGGUCCCCUAAGUAUUUGCCAGUAUUUUAAAAUUUUAUGUCCAAAUUAUUCUGACCCUUAAAAAGUCAAGAAUACACACUUACUCAGAAAGGCAAGCCCUAAGUACUCCCGGAGUUGCUAGGUACUGUGCAUUCUCUUUGGUUAAUCACUAAACUCAGCUGUGAGCUUGGUAACAGAGGCCAGUAUUAAGGGGAAGACUCUGUCAUUUUCUGAGUAUCCUCAUCUCAGAGCAGCCUGUUUAUUACAAGUGGUGCUUUACCCACACUAGUCUUGUUUUUUGAAGGAAAUGGGAGGGAAUUACAUAUUUCACUUAGAUUUUCUUGACUCUGAGGAUUGUUAGCUGACAAGUUGAUGUUUGAAGAUUUCUGUAAGAUAUUUUUUAGGUUUUGCCAGUUUAAAAGUACAUUAAUUCAAAACUUUAUGUAGAUCCCUAUCUCUAUCUCCCAGUGGUGUUUGAUAAAUAAAGUUUUGCUGAAUGUGACUAUUUUAUUGACCCUGUUCAUUUUGUUUGUUUGUUUGAGAUGGGGUCUUGAUUUGAGCGCUGACCUCAAUGCAGUGCUUACAGGUAUGUCCUUGCCCUCCCUCAUAUUAAUCAGCAGUUCCAUUGCAGAAGUUUUACUAUACACAUAGUGUCCUGGUUAGGAAUGAGAGCCGUGCUACUGAGCAUCAAAUCCCUACGGGGUACCAAGUUUUCAUUCACUUCUCAAGUUUUUAUUAAGCACUGCUUGUAGUGUCUGGGACACCUAAAUCCUGAAGAUGUAGUACACUGAACACAGACAAAAUUGUUCUCAUAUAGUUUAUAGGUAGAGAUGUAAUGAGUGAGUAAAAUGUGUCUGGGGAAAACACAAGGAAAGAAAGCAUGGAGGCUGAGCAGUGGGCAUUGUUUGACCUCAGCUCUGCAGCGAGUACCAGUCUUGAUUUCAGAAAAUAGAACUAUCCAGUGACAUUUUUUUCUUAGACUAAGAAUAUCCUUUAUAACUUGGAAACAAAAUUGUAUUUGUGCUUCAGAAUUACAAAUUGUUACAGAAUUUCAAUUAGUAGGGAUUUCCUAUUGUUAGUACUUUAGAAAGCUACUUUGUGACUCAGUAGAAAAUUCUGGAAUUUACCACCCUUGUUUGAAUCCUAGUUUUGGCCACCUUCUACUUUGCCACUUGAUUUAGAGCCAGUUAAGACUUCUUAGCUUCUCUGAACCUGUUUUCUAAUCUGUAAAAUAAAUUGGCUAAGGUUUCUGCUGAUAAAGUAGUAAAUUUAAACACAAGUUGUGAGCAGUAGAGUAUGUAUACUUUGUGCCAUUUUUGUUUUCUGCCUUUCUGGAGCUCUGCAAAAUAAACAUGGCUGAGUUGGUAAUUGCAGCAAGUUCUACCAGCACUGUAUGGGCAUUGUUAAAUCCACAUUUCAUUUGGCUACUUAGAGCAGCCUCGCCUGUAGUAUAGUGUCACUGGGCGCUUUCUGGAGAGUUGGUUUGUGUCAUAUCUAGUCUAACACAGGAGGACCAUUACAGCUUUCAGGUGAAGGAGCAUUGUGGGCCUGUCAUUUAGCUUGAUAAACUGAACCUGAACACUUUGAGAAAUGGACAGCAAAAACUGAAUAAAAUGCCAGUUUAUGCAGACCCUUGAGAUAUGUAGCACAGUGCAUGUAUGGCACAUAGACUUUCUCCCAUACUGUAUAAACAAGGGUAUUUCAUACACUUUGCAAAAUAUUAAGGAAAACAUUUACAAAGGCCAAAUGUGCAGCUUGUGAACGAGAUUUUGAAAAAAAACAACAGAAUAACCAUUCAAAUUGCAAAUCUUUGUACCACUGGGAGGUGACUACAUUGAGCUCCUCAGGACUCAGGAUAGAUCCCAGAGCAUGGCUUCCGUUCCUCUCUGCCUUCCUCACAUGUUGGGGAGGGCAUGGUCUGGAGCUAGUUCAGCAGGCCAGAUGCUGAGUGGUUUGUAAUGGCUGUCCUUUGUUCCACCACUGUUAUUUUUGUGGUUUUGAGAUAGGUUCUCAAAAACUUAUAUCUUGCGGCUUCGAACACACAAGAGAUCUUCCUGCCUCUGCUACCAGAGUGCUAGGAUUAAAGGCAUGCUCUGUCAUGCCCUCCACCACUACUCUUUGUUAGUAAACUCUUGUGUCUGAAAGGUUAUGGGUUACAGUAGACUUCAGAUUUCGAGUGUAUGAGUUUUGCUUUGUUUUGAGGAAGAGGUUUGCCAUGUACCCUAAGCUAGCCUCGAGCUCACUGCAGUCCUGCCUCUCUAAAGAUGUGAUGUAGAUAUAUAAGCCUGGCUGAGCUUCUAAUCUUACGCUUAGCCUAAAUUGUUAGGAAAAUGUUAUAACUCAUGUUUAAGUCUAGCAAAACUUUUGAGAAAGAAUCCUAGAAAUCUAAAGAAAUUGAUUAAUUAUAUUUGCAGCUAGGCUGUUGACAUGAACAUGAAAUGGGGUAAUAGUAACUCCUUCUGUCUGGAGAACCAAACUCAGUGCAUGCUAAGCAAUGGGCUACCAUUAAGGUAGCACACCAGUCUUUUCUUUGUUUUGGGACAAGGUCUAGCCAAGUUGUCCAGACUGACUUCUUAGCUUGUACUUCUGCCCCAGCCUUCAAAGUACCUGGGAUCACAGACAUGUGCUACCACACCCCGUGGGAUAUAGCAGCUUUUAAAGGCAAAACAGAAAAAUAAUUCAUGUAUAAUUAUAUAGCUUAACUAACUUAAAGGUCACUUAUUUAAUCCCUUUGAGACGGUUGAUCUGCACUCACUUUAUGAACUAAAUAGUCCAGUUAUUUGCUUCGAUUCCUGACAUAAGAAUAAUGGUGUUUGCACAGGAGGGGAAAGAUCCAGCACUCUCUUUAGCAGUGACCAUCCUCUGUACAUUAACACUGGUCAGCCUUCUCCUGACGCAGGCUGUCCUUUACCUAGUGAAUGCUGAUUCUAGAGUUCCUAACGUUUAAAAACUGAACAGGCCAAAAAUCCUUGAGCCAUUUACACAAAGUAUUUCUUGAAUUACAAAAAAAGAAAGAAGAAAGAAAGAAAGAGGGGAAGAAAG